UUAUUAAUUCAACAGUUUCUAAUCUUACCGUGAGGCAAUCUGGACCACCAUUUAGUCAGCCCACACGCUAAUUACUUCCCCCUAAAAAACCUCUGAUGUGAAUGAAUUGAAAUGUUUUCAGUUACACACUGGCUAAUGCCACCAAUUUUAACCAAUUUCAGGGGAGUCGCCUCUUACGCGGAGGUUAGGUUCUGAAGUCAGCGCGUAAGGCGAAAAUCGCGUAUAGUCAAAUGCUCAUUGAGUGGACUGGCGAGCGGAAUCGCCCACACUACAGGGACUGCUACGCAGUGGGUGCAGAAGGGUUAAAUACUCCUCAGGAAGAGCAGGAGACAUGAGAUGUUUGGAUCACAUAACUGUCUGGGGUGAUAUGAAUGGGUCUUAAGGACUGACUGAAACCAACCCGUAUCAAUGGAGAAUGGGAAAGACAAUGGGAACCCCAAGGACUGAACUACUGACCCCUAACAAUUGGAAACUCCAGCAGGCAUAACAUGUAAACUCAGCACUUGACUGGGUGAAGACCUGGCUUUAGCCAUAUGGACUAUGUCUUAACCUUUGCUUCUCUAUAUGCCAACCU